AUGCUUGAUCGAUAUGCUGACAUUAUUGUGUUUCUUAUUUUCAGUGGCAUGGCCAAGCUUAGUAAAAAGGCGAAAGUGAACAAGCCGGCUGAAGACUCCAAUCCUUCUGAGCCAGAGAAGCAACUGCCAGAGACCUCUCAUCCAACCGCUGAAGCUAUCAUUGAUGACCCGCCACCAGAAGAGCACGACGUCACCAUGGAUCAUAUAGAAGUUGAACCGGUCAUCACUAAGCCACCAAGCCCCAUCAAGCCUACUGAAGAGAAAACUGACGAUGUCGUCAUCACCGGGCUUGGUUAUACAGCGUCGGGUAAUCCUACUGCCUUAUCCAAGCACAGCGCCAAAGAAGAAUUUUCUGCUGCUGAUAUAGGCAAGUGGAAGGUAGACUUGGAAAGCUAUGCUCAAUUCGGCGCCCAAGAGAUCCAUUUCGGCUAUUUGAACCGUCUGUAUACCAGCCGUGACUUUGAAGCCGGUUUGGUCAACUUGAUGAAGGAGCGCUAUGAGGUAAUCCAACAAAAACCCUCAUAA
rnacentral:rRNA from 1 species